UUCUGGCUCAGAAUGAACGCUGGCGGCAUGCCUAAGACAUGCAAGUCGCACGUGAAAGUAGCAAUAUGAGUAAAGUGGCGCACGGGUGAGUAAUAUUUAGGUAAUAUGCCCUUCCGCGGGGGAUAACCAGACGAAAGUUUGGCUAAUACCGCAUACAUCGACGGAAACUUCGGUUUUUGUCGGGAAAGCCGUAAGGCGCGGAAGGAGUAGCCUGAAUCCCAUUAGCUAGUUGGUAAGGUAACGGCUUACCAAGGCUUUGAUGGGUAGCUGGUCUGAGAGGACGAUCAGCCACACUGGAACUGAGACACGGUCCAGACUCCUACGGGAGGCAGCAGUUAGGAAUCUUGCGCAAUGGGAGAAAUCCUGACGCAGCGAUGCCGCGUGAGGGAUGAAGGCCUGG
rnacentral:rRNA from 1 species